AUUGAACGCUGGCGGAAUGCUUUACACAUGCAAGUCGAACGGCAGUACGGACUUCGGUCUGGUGGCGAGUGGCGAACGGGUGAGUAAUGUAUCGGAACGUGCCCAGUCGUGGGGGAUAACGUAGUGAAAAUUACGCUAAUACCGCAUACGAUCUACGGAUGAAAGCGGGGGAUCGCAAGACCUCGCGCGAUUGGAGCGGCCGAUAUCAGAUUAGGUAGUUGGGGGGGUAAAGGCCCACCAAGCCAACGAUCUGUAGCUGGUCUGAGAGGACGACCAGCCACACUGGAACUGAGCCACGGUCCAGACUCCUACGGGAGGCAGCAGUGGGGAAUUUUGGACAAUGGGCGAAAGCCUGAUCCAGCCAUUCCGCGUGCAGGAUGAAGGCCCUCGGGUUGUAAACUGCUUUUGUACAGAACGAAAAGGUUUCUACUAAUACUAGGAGCUCAUGACGGUACUGUAAGAAUAAGCACCGGCUAACUACGUGCCAGCCGCCGCCGUAA
rnacentral:rRNA from 1 species